UAUAUACUCCCUCCUUCCGGAGUUACUUGUCGCACAAAUUAAUAAAAAUGGAUGUAUCUAGAACUAAAAUACAUCUAGAUACACUCAUUCCUAUGACAAGUAUUUACGGACGAAGGGAUUAGUUG
rfam:Hordeum vulgare subsp. vulgare, WGS project CAJW01000000 data, contig: morex_contig_53737